AGCUUGUUCUUUUUUAAUAGAUAAUGAUCUGAGGUCCAAAGACAUCGUGAUUCACUUCAGGUGAAAUAGCUAGUAAGUGACCAAAGCAAGACUAGAACCCAGGUUUCAUGUCUUCUAACCCAGUGAUCUUUUCACUAUGAUGAUAUACCAAUACUUGAAACAUGAACUACUUUCCCUCUCAAAGUUGGGAGAAGAGAAUAGUGACAAAAAAGGCAGCAUGAUUCUUUGGAAUAUGGUAAUAAAAAGCAAAUGAAUUUUGUCAUUUAAAAACAUUAAUUUAGUCAAACAUUUAUUGGGCUUAUGCUAUAUUCAAGGCAUCAUAAGAGGAACUAAACGAGCAACUAGGAAAAUGAAGCAGCGUCGAUAUGUCUUCAAGAAGCCUCCAGCAUCCUUGAGGGGCAGAGAAGGUUCAUUUAAGACAUGUGCAUCAAUAGUGUCCAAGAAGCAAAGCAGCCAUUUUUCUUCUUGGUGACAAGAGUGGUCUUGCUCCCUGCAGUUGUCAUCUUACUCUCACUGUGCAGAAUGGAUGAAAGAAAGCAGGCACAUUGCAGCGUUUGGGGAGCAGUUCUGUCUUUGAAAUGAGUUUACUUUCAAAAGGUUUUUAAAAAUUAAUUUACAAUUUUGAUCGGAAGAAAAUGUACUUGACACUUGGGUCUCUGGGAGAAUAUGCUGUAUAAAAAUAAGUAAACAUAUAUCUUCAGUAAGCAAUAUAAACCAGCUUGA
rnacentral:lncRNA from 1 species